AAUAGAUACCCUGGUAGUCCACGCCGUAAACGAUGAGUGCUAAGUGUUGGGGGUUUCCGCCCCUCAGUGCUGCAGCUAACGCAUUAAGCACUCCGCCUGGGGAGUACGGUCGCAAGACUGAAACUCAAAGGAAUUGACGGGGGCCCGCACAAGCGGUGGAGCAUGUGGUUUAAUUCGAAGCAACGCGAAGAACCUUACCAGGUCUUGACAUCCCGGUGACCACUAUGGAGACAUAGUUUCCCCUUCGGGGGCAACGGUGACAGGUGGUGCAUGGUUGUCGUCAGCUCGUGUCGUGAGAUGUUGGGUUAAGUCCCGCAACGAGCGCAACCCUUAUUCUUAGUUGCCAUCACUUAGUUGGGCACUCUAAGGAGACUGCCGGUGAUAAACCGGAGGAAGGUGGGGAUGACGUCAAAUCAUCAUGCCCCUUAUGACCUGGGCUACACACGUGCUACAAUGGACGGUACAAACGGUUGCCAACCCGCGAGGGGAGCUAAUCCGAUAAAACCGUUCUCAGUUCGGAUUGUAGGCUGCAACUCGCCUACA
rnacentral:rRNA from 1 species